UUGACCUCGGAUCAGGUAGGGAUACCCGCUGAACUUAAGCAUAUCAAUAAGCGGAGGAAAAGAAACCAACCGGGAUUGCCUCAGUAACGGCGAGUGAAGCGGCAAGAGCUCAAAUUUGAAAGCUGGCCCCUUCGGGGUCCGCGUUGUAAUUUGCAGAGGAUGCUUCGGGUGCGGCCCCUGUCUAAGUGCCCUGGAACGGGCCGUCAGAGAGGGUGAGAAUCCCGUCUUGGGCAGGGUGCCCGUGCCCGUGUGAAGCUCCUUCGACGAGUCGAGUUGUUUGGGAAUGCAGCUCUAAAUGGGUGGUAAAUUUCAUCUAAAGCUAAAUACCGGCCGGAGACCGAUAGCGCACAAGUAGAGUGAUCGAAAGAUGAAAAGCACUUUGAAAAGAGAGUUAAACAGCACGUGAAAUUGUUGAAAGGGAAGCGCUUGCGACCAGACUCGGCCCCGGGGUUCAGCCAGCACUCGUGCUGGUGUACUUCCCCGGGGGCGGGCCAGCGUCGGUUUGGGCGGCCGGUCAAAGGCCCCAGGAAUGUAUCGCCCUCCGGGGUUGUCUUAUAGCCUGGGGUGCAAUGCGGCCAGCCCGGACCGAGGAACGCGCNNCGGCACGGACGCUGGCUAAUG
rnacentral:rRNA from 1 species